AUUGAACGCUGGCGGCAUGCCUUACACAUGCAAGUCGAACGGCAGCAUGAUCUAGCUUGCUAGAUUGAUGGCGAGUGGCGAACGGGUGAGUAAUACAUCGGAACGUGCCCUGUAGUGGGGGAUAACUAGUCGAAAGAUUAGCUAAUACCGCAUACGACCUGAGGGUGAAAGUGGGGGACCGCAAGGCCUCAUGCUAUAGGAGCGGCCGAUGUCUGAUUAGCUAGUUGGUGAGGUAAAGGCUCACCAAGGCGACGAUCAGUAGCUGGUCUGAGAGGACGAUCAGCCACACUGGGACUGAGACACGGCCCAGACUCCUACGGGAGGCAGCAGUGGGGAAUUUUGGACACUGGGCGAAAGCCUGAUCCAGCAAUGCCGCGUGUGUGAAGAAGGCCUUCGGGUUGUAAAGCACUUUUGUCCGGAAAGAAAUGGCUCUGGUUAAUACCUGGGGUCGAUGACGGUACCGGAAGAAUAAGGACCGGCUAACUACGU
rnacentral:rRNA from 1 species